rnacentral:rRNA from 1 species
GGUGAACGCUGGCGGCGUGCCUAACACAUGCAAGUCGAGCGGUGCAGUUUGAAGCUUCGGUGGAAAGCUGCAUAGCGGCGGACGGGUGAGGAAAACGUAGGAACGUGCCCCUUGGAGUUGGAUAGCCACGGGAAACUGUGGGUAAACCGACAUAGACUCGAGAGAGUAAAGGCCGAAAGGCGCCAAGGGAGCGGCCUGCGGCCCAUCAGGUAGUUGGUAGUGUAAAGGACUACCAAGCCGACGACGGGUAGCCGGUCUGAGAGGAUGGCCGGCCACAAGGGCACUGAGAGACGGGCCCUACUCCUACGGGAGGCAGCAGUGGGGGAUUUGGACAAUGGGCGAAAGCCUGAUCCAGCGACGCCGCGUGGAGGACGAAGCCCUUCGGGGUGUAAACGUCCUUUUCUCAGGGAAAAAGGAUGAUGGUACCUGAGGAAUAAGCCCGGCUAACUACGUG